AUGGAGGAGGAGGAGGAGUUACUGAGUGAGAGUGAUGUGGACCCUGCUUCUAGGAAGUGGGCAGGACAAAGAAAGAAUCCACCCUAUUAAUUUUUCUCCACAUCACCUUCCAUUUGCAGACACUAUUGUCCAUGGGUCAGAGGGACACAGGAUGACAGGAAGCAUCACAGGGCUGCCUUUCAGAGGACCACCAAACCUGAUUGGAGCUGGAGGUACAGAGAUGCAGCCUUAUCCAAUCUCCAGCAUCAGCAGAGCCAUCAAAGUCCAGGGGCAAGACAAAAGUCAAGAUGAU